CACAGCAAACCACCCUGGAUUUGCAUAGCUCCAUGCCAUGUUUGUUUUUGCAGUGUUUCUGACAUAAACCCCUUUAGAGCUGCAUAGCUGAGAACCUUUUGGUACUAUGCAUUGUAUCCUGCUUUCUAUGAUAAUAGGAAAAAAAACCUUCUUUAUACGCUCAUGAUUUCAAGUACAUUUGGUUUGCCCAUCUAGAGGUUCCAUGACUAUUUGGAAACAGAUGAGCACUUUAUGAGGAGGCCUUCUACAGCUUACAGGCUCUGUCCCUUUUUUGGAACCUCACACAGAGGGGAGUGAAACCCAGAUUCCAGCUGGGGCAGGUUCCAAGUUCACUCUUGCUCCAAGGAAAUGGUGGGCAGCUUGGAGGGGAGCUGCCAGACUCAAAUGAUGUCUUGAACUCUGUAGUUCCCAGAUGAGGUCUCACCAGACUAGGUUUCAUGCCACCUGCAUUAGGCCCUUCUGCUUCCAGCUGAGCUGGACAAAAUGAGAGACAACUUCCUGUGCAUUUGGAACCUGUGCUUUCCAUUCUGGCAAGGGAACAAGGGACAGGUGAGUGAGCAAAGAGGAAAAGCUAACUGGCUUCUACCUCUUCUGAUUCAUGCUUUAUACUGGAUUUGGAGGGAAAAAGGCAGCAGAGAAGGUUUCUACGUUUUCUAGUGUGUCACUUGUCAGCAGGUGACAGGACUCUUGCUUGGAUGGAUGUGAGCUUGGCUUCCCAGCCAUUGCAGGGGUUUUUGUCGUGACCUCCCACUGUGGAGCAGGUGUGUGUCCUCAACUUGGUCACCCAGGUGUCAGGGCUCCUGCCCAGGAGAGAGCAGGUGCAGAAGAAGCCUAGGAAGGAGAUCAGCCUCCAGCAACCCUCUUGAAAAGAGUGACUCUUGGUUGCAGGGCCACAGGGAGCAAGGAUGGAUUAGGCUGGCCCAGGAGAGAGCUGUUACAUCACAGCCACUGGUGCUAUGUUGCAUCCCCACCCUGAGAGUCCUCAAGCCUGUCUGCCCUUCUGGAAUCCAGGUGCAGAUAUACCAGGGAUUUUCUCUGAAUCCUGGCUGGAAAGCAGGUGGGCUGCCCAGCCAGGGCACAGAGUUAUACACAUAGUGCCCACAAAGUUCUGGCCUGAGGUCUUUAAACAAGCUUGAGAAGGGUUUCAAGACAGCAUCUACAUGAGUCCAACUGUAGUGAAGAUAUUUAAUGACUCAGUUCAGGCUUGAGUCCACAGACAGAAGCAUUUUCUUCAACAGAAUAAGCCAGCAGAGGGAUUGAAAGGCCCUUAGCUGACCUCUGGAGUUUCCUGGUAGUCUGUUGAUGGUGCUAGUUAAGAAUAUUGUGAAUUCUGCUCUCUCCAGAGAAUUUUAAGACAGAAACAUUGCUUGCAGAGUUUUCUAAGGGAUUCUGAUCAACUUACGUCUGAAAAAGUGUGGUAAAAUCUGAACACUAACAUUGCAGCCCUUUGACCUCAAAUGUAUAUGCUGAAAAUUCAGAUCCCAUCUGGACCCAGUAAAUGUGUGACUUGAAAGAAGGCAAAUGAAUGAAGACUUCCAUACUCUGGAGCUUCAGCAGAGAGGUGCUGCAGAUCACCUGGGAAAAUUCCAGUACUAUGCUUUUGCACUUUGAGGAAUAAACUGAGAAGGCUACAGCUAUACUUCAUGGAUGUUUAUGUGCAGGCCUUGUCUGCUCACUGGGCUCCAGAACCACAGCUUUGCAUACAGCGCAUUUUGGCAGCCAGCUGCCCUUUGAGAACAAGAGAGGAUUUUCCAUACAGAAGAAUGAGAAUUAAUGUGUGAAAAUUGGUGGUACAGUGCAGCCCUGGUUGAAAGACUUGGACAUUGCCCUUGGCAAAGGACUUACCUUCCUCCUGUAGCCCACUGCCUUCUGAAGUAAGAUAAGACAGAGUUUUUCAGGUAGAAGGCUUUUCUGUCCAAAGCAGGAUUUCUCUGCUCUGUGUAGAGUGAUACAGUCCAGCUGAAAGCUCCUACAACACCCCUUGAGAAGAUGAAGGAUGACUUCAGCAACCCCUCUGUUAAUUUUCCUGUCUACAAGAAAGCAUGAAUUUAAUGAUAUCUUGACAACAAAUAUUUAUCUCAGGUUUCCUCUUCGGGAAGGAAGAGCUGGAAAACAAAUGUGAAUUGAUGGGAAUUGCGAGGUUCCUGGACACAACCUGUAGCCCAGCUAUCCUUGAGUCCUGUCUGUAGCUGCACUGAGUAUUUGGAGGAAGAUGCAAAUACUGCUGGAAUGGAUGAUUUCAAGUAAACUGCAAACAAACCUGC